rnacentral:lncRNA from 1 species
AGCAGUUCAACGGCUAUAUUUUCCAACUAAUUUUUAAAAAUUGUAACUGACCGCAUUAUAUAAAGAACCAGUUUCACAUCAUCUAAUUUACCGUUAUUUUUCUAACGGAAUAUUCUUAAUAUUUAACGGUAGUUUUAUAUGAAACCACAUUUUAUAGCAGUUACUAUCUCUCUCACACGAUGAACAACAGUUUUCUCUCCCUCUUCGACACGGUUAUCUCAGCAUAACAGUUACUAACCGCCUCAACAUUCCCGCCACUUCCCUUAUAAUUCCCCAACUUUCAAUUCCAUUUCUCCUUUUUUCCGACCCCAUCAAUUCCAUUCCGAUCAACAGAAAAAAACUACUCCACUGUAACACAAACGCCAACAAAGCCCGCCGCCGCGGUGCUUGGUUAACGCCAAGCGUCGCCACCACCGCGGCCGCCGCCGGCCGCCCACACAAAAAUGGCGGACCAAAUUUCCGUUCCUCCACAACACAAUCACCAACACGCCACCGGCGCGAUUUCCAGCGUAGAACAGUUACUGUUUCUCGACGACGAUGACGGCGGCCGCGGCAACCCUUUGCUCGACGACGUCGUAAAUGGAAUGAUCGAGGAGAUGAGCGGCGACGCAAAUUACGGCACUAAUUCUCCUCAAUUUUGCUCUGUUCAUGAAAACGCCGUCAGCAACCAAUAGAGCAACGAUUAUUUUCAAUUUCAUAAAUCACUAUAAUCAAUUGCAAACUACCGAUACUGCACUAUAUUAGAUUGUUAAUUUUCAAUUGCACUAUAUACUAACGCCGUCAGCAUCCUUAAUAGUUUAUUUUCUUUCUCUUUCUCACGGUUACAAUAGAGCAACGAUUAUUUCUCAAAAAUCAAUUUGCUCUCCAUCCAUUUAUGCAUCAGUAUGCAGUUGUUUGCCAAUUGAAGCAUAUUUAAUAAUGGGAGAAGAAGUAUAGAUAAAGAGUACGAGCCCAGAUCUGAGAGCGACAAUAUGGAUGAUGCAUUUGGGAAUGAUUAAGAUGACAAACCGCUGAGGAAGAAGAGAUCUAUCA